AUCGCUUCUCAGCCUUUUGGCUAAGAUCAAGUGUAGUAAGCUCUGUGUCAUCCAACAUGAUGGCCACGAGCCACAUGUGGCUAUUAAGUGCUUAACAUGUGGCUAGUUCAAACUGAGAUCUGCUCUAAGUGUAAAGUACACACC
rnacentral:snRNA from 1 species